rnacentral:rRNA from 1 species
UUUUAUGGAGAGUUUGAUCCUGGCUCAGAGUGAACGCUGGCGGCGUGCCUAAUACAUGCAAGUCGAACGAUGAAGCUUCUAGCUUGCUAGAAGUGGAUUAGUGGCGCACGGGUGAGUAACGCAUAGGUCAUGUGCCUCUUAGUUUGGGAUAGCCAUUGGAAACGAUGAUUAAUACCAGAUACUCCCUACGGGGGAAAGAUUUAUCGCUAAGAGAUCAGCCUAUGUCCUAUCAGCUUGUUGGUAAGGUAAUGGCUUACCAAGGCUAUGACGGGUAUCCGGCCUGAGAGGGUGAACGGACACACUGGAACUGAGACACGGUCCAGACUCCUACGGGAGGCAGCAGUAGGGAAUAUUGCUCAAUGGGGGAAACCCUGAAGCAGCAACGCCGCGUGGAGGAUGAAGGUUUUAGGAUUGUAAACUCCUUUUGUUAGAGAAGAUAAUGACGGUAUCUAACGAAUAAGCACCGGCUAACUCCGUGCCAGCAGCCGCGGUAAUACGGAGGGUGCAAGCGUUACUCGGAAUCACUGGGCGUAAAGAGCGCGUAGGCGGGAUAGUCAGUCAGGUGUGAAAUCCUAUGGCUUAACCAUAGAACUGCAUUUGAAACUACUAUUCUAGAGUGUGGGAGAGGUAGGUGGAAUUCUUGGUGUAGGGGUAAAAUCCGUAGAGAUCAAGAGGAAUACUCAUUGCGAAGGCGACCUGCUGGAACAUUACUGACGCUGAUUGCGCGAAAGCGUGGGGAGCAAACAGGAUUAGAUACCCUGGUAGUCCACGCCCUAAACGAUGGAUGCUAGUUGUUGGAGGGCUUAGUCUCUCCAGUAAUGCAGCUAACGCAUUAAGCAUCCCGCCUGGGGAGUACGGUCGCAAGAUUAAAACUCAAAGGAAUAGACGGGGACCCGCACAAGCGGUGGAGCAUGUGGUUUAAUUCGAAGAUACACGAAGAACCUUACCUAGGCUUGACAUUGAGAGAAUCCGCUAGAAAUAGUGGAGUGUCUGGCUUGCUAGACCUUGAAAACAGGUGCUGCACGGCUGUCGUCAGCUCGUGUCGUGAGAUGUUGGGUUAAGUCCCGCAACGAGCGCAACCCCCUUUCUUAGUUGCUAACAGGUCAUGCUGAGAACUCUAAGGAUACUGCCUCCGUAAGGAGGAGGAAGGUGGGGACGACGUCAAGUCAUCAUGGCCCUUACGCCUAGGGCUACACACGUGCUACAAUGGGGUGUACAAAGAGAAGCAAUACUGCGAAGUGGAGCCAAUCUUCAAAACGCCUCUCAGUUCGGAUUGUAGGCUGCAACUCGCCUGCAUGAAGCUGGAAUCGCUAGUAAUCGCAAAUCAGCCAUGUUGCGGUGAAUACGUUCCCGGGUCUUGUACUCACCGCCCGUCACACCAUGGGAGUUGUGUUUGCCUUAAGUCAGGAUGCUAAAUUGGCUACUGCCCACGGCACACACAGCGACUGGGGUGAAGUCGUAACAAGGUAACCGUAGGUGAACCUGCGGUUGGAUCACCUCCUUUCUAGA